GAGGCUCCAGAGUGGUGUCGGUGUGCAGGCACUACCCGUCCCUCCCUCCCCGGGCAGGACCUGGCUGCGCACCCGUCCUGGAAGGUGGCUCAUUUCCUCCCAGCUGGAGGUGAAGGGGUGCCGGAGCCAGGGAGCAGCUCCCAGGCAGCAGGAAGUAUCAAGAUGAUUAUAAGGGGAUGGGGGCAGGAAGAAAAGGUGUUAAGCUACCACAUUAACAGACCAAUUCCAUCGUAACUUCUUCCUUUUGUUCCUGAGAAACCUACGCUUCAUACAGAUUCAGCGGAGGAAGAUUUCCAUCUGAGAGAGGCUCAGAUGCAAGGACUUUGAUUUGGUCUCGCAGGUGCCCAAGUGACCAAAGAAGCCAUUACAAAUACAGAAGGCUGGAGGGAAAACUUAUAGUCUAAUAAUAAGCAACUUGACAAUUGGUAAGAAAAUUAAAAUUAUCUUGACAGUUCUAACAAUCUGUUGCAGCAGUCACUAGUGGAAUGCACAUAUGAAUAGUCACUCGAAGAGGAAUGCACCGCUGAGGAAAUGUGAGCACAGGUGAGGAGUAAUAGACAUACAAAGCUAGAAGGCUGCCAAGAUGUUAUUUACUUUUUCAAAGCAAGCCCUGACAGAAGGUUUCAAAACUGGUGUUAAAAGCCCCCUGUGAAGGACUGGAAGACCAUGAUAGUUCCUCCUGGCUGUAAAGUCUCAUUAAUCCACUAGACUUCAGAGAACUGCUUUUUCUUUAAGAAACCAGGCUGGUUAGAACCUUUGAUAUCUUCAUCUUCCAGAUGUUUUAUUAAUUUGGUUUUGAUCAUAACUUCAAGUUAGGUUUACUGAUCCAAGACAUCAAAUAUUAUCAUUAUGAGUACCAUCUGUCACCCCAUUUUGGCAAGGAAAUUCUUCAGGUUAUUUUCUGAAGUCAUCACUUUCUGUGCCAAAAAGAAAUACCUAACACACAGAAGAAGUUAAAACAAUAAAACAGGGGCAAGGAAAAUCACUGCUGCCUGGGCCUGAAGAAGCAUUAUGAAUAAAUAGUAAGGGACAGAUGACUUAGGAGGGGACUGAGGUCUAAUGAUCCUGAGGAAGCCUAACAAAGUAACAAUGAAGAAAAGGCUAGUGAGGGGAAAAGGAAAUGCUGAGUGAGCAGAAGGAGAUCAUGGUAAGAAGAGGCUGCAAACGAGCUCUCCUCCCAGGAUGUCUGGUGUGGGGCUUUAGAUCCUCUCACUCCAGAUGAAAACAAACUGUAUCUUUGGCCCCAGCAGUCACAAGUUUACCUUGCCUUGUAAGAACAAGGAUUCUGAGCAAGAGAUCUUGGUACAAAUAGGUGUAGAAUCCUGUGUUUCUGAACUUCCUCGAAAAUUCUGGAUGUGAAAAGCAGAAAGUUCUUCUGAAUUCAGACCAGUAAGUGUGGGACUAUGUAGAAGAAGAA